CGAACGCUUGCGGCGUGCUUAACACAUGCAAGUCGAACGAGAAAGCCCCUUCGGGGGUGAGUAAAGUGGCGCACGGGUGAGUAACGCGUAGAUAAUCUACCCUAGUGUUCGGGACAACAUCGGGAAACUGGUGCUAAUACCGAAUAAUUUUAUUUUGAUGCGAAUUGAGAUAAGGAAAGGUGGGGAUCCUUCGGGACCUAUUGCACAAGGAUGAGUCUGCGUACCAUUAGCUAGUUGGUGGGGUAAUGGCCUACCAAGGCUACGAUGGUUAGCGGGUCUGAGAGGAUGAUCCGCCACACUGGCACUGGAACACGGGCCAGACUCCUACGGGAGGCAGCAGUGAGGAAUUUUGCACAAUGGGGGAAACCCUGAUGCAGCGACGCCGCGUGAGUGAUGAAGGCCUUAGGGUUGUAAAGCUCUGUCAAUGGGGAAGAAAUGUAUAAUGGUGAAUACCCAUUAUAUUUGACGGUACCCAUAAAGGAAGCACCGGCUAAAUCC
rnacentral:rRNA from 1 species